GGAAACCAAUGGCGAAGGAAGAGGAUUAUCUCUACUGGUCCCUAGGAAGACCCUCAGGUGCAAGGUGAAGAAGUGUCAGAGGGAAGAGCACCCGGGUGGAUGGAAGCAGGUGGGAAGCCAUGCCUGUGGCCAGCAGGAGGCGGGAGGCAGGAAGUGCUCAAAAUAUGAACCAUGACACCAGAGGGUCACUGCUGCCAGUCUUCGUUGCUCAUCUCUACCCAUCACGGUCACACGAGCAUUUCUACACAGCUCUGAGGACCAGGACCAGCCUCCUCAAAGGGGCUUCUGACCCAGACAAGAACAAGGACCAAGUGCCAACGAAUUUGGAAAAUACAGACUUAGGAAGGUAAUCACGUUGAUGAUAACGCAUUCCCUGCGCUGUGAUUUGAUCUGGGAAUAGAAAUAUCGCACAGCCUGGCUUUGCUGUCAGAUGUUCUAUUUGUUUUUCCCCCCUAGAAAAGGGGAAAAGGGAACAUCCAGGUGAGUGGCUCUGCUCACCUGAGGCUUGCCACUCCACUCCUCAUCCCCAGGAGGCACUUUCUC